rnacentral:rRNA from 1 species
AUUGAACGCUGGCGGCAUGCCUUACACAUGCAAGUCGAACGGCAGCACGGGUGCUUGCACCUGGUGGCGAGUGGCGAACGGGUGAGUAAUACAUCGGAACGUACCUUAUCGUGGGGGAUAACGCAGCGAAAGCUGUGCUAAUACCGCAUACGCCCUGAGGGGGAAAGCGGGGGAUCGAAAGACCUCGCGCGAUUAGAGCGGCCGAUGCCUGAUUAGCUUGUUUGUGGGGUAAAAGCCCACCAAGGCGACGAUCAGUAGCUGGUCUGAGAGGAGAUACGGCCACACUGCAACUGAGACCGGACACAGUCUCCUACGGGCGGCAGCAGGGGGGGAUUGUGGACAAGGGUUGCAACCCUUAUCCAGCAAUGCCGCGUGAGUGAAGAAGGCCUUCGGGUUGUAAAGCUCUUUUGUCAGCGAACAAACACCGGCUCUAACACAGUCCGUUAAUGACGGUACCUGAAGAAUAAGCACCGGCUAACUACGUGCCAGCAGCCGCCGUAA